CAGACGGAUCAUCUCUGAUCACGUUCAGGUACGCAGCAGGUUUUCCAUCGCAGGAGUAAAGUCCAGAGUCAGCAGCCUGAAGGGUGAGGACAGGGUAAAGUGAUUGAUUUCUCCUGCUCGACUAUUUUAUGGAUGAUUGCUGCAACAGAAACAUAACGUUAGAUACAAAGACUCGGCUGUCAGGAUGUCUGUAUUCUUAAAAUUGCAAGCAACUAAAAUGUGGUUUGAAACCAGUUUCAGAAUCACAUUUAACUUUCUCUUCAUCAAA